GGUUAAGCGACUAAGCGUACACGGUGGAUGCCCUGGCAGUCAGAGGCGAUGAAGGACGUGCUAAUCUGCGAUAAGCGUCGGUAAGGUGAUAUGAACCGUUAUAACCGGCGAUUUCCGAAUGGGGAAACCCAGUGUGAUUCGUCACACUAUCAUUAACUGAAUCCAUAGGUUAAUGAGGCGAACCGGGGGAACUGAAACAUCUAAGUACCCCGAGGAAAAGAAAUCAACCGAGAUUCCCCCAGUAGCGGCGAGCGAACGGGGAGCAGCCCAGAGCCUGAAUCAGUGUGUGUGUUAGUGGAAGCGUCUGGAAAGGCGCGCGAUACAGGGUGACAGCCCCGUACACAAAAAUGCACAUAUUGUGAGCUCGAUGAGUAGGGCGGGACACGUGGUAUCCUGUCUGAAUAUGGGGGGACCAUCCUCCAAGGCUAAAUACUCCUGACUGACCGAUAGUGAACCAGUACCGUGAGGGAAAGGCGAAAAGAACCCCGGCGAGGGGAGUGAAAAAGAACCUGAAACCGUGUACGUACAAGCAGUGGGAGCACGCUUAGGCGUGUGACUGCGUACCUUUUGUAUAAUGGGUCAGCGACUUAUAUUCUGUAGCAAGGUUAACCGAAUAGGGGAGCCGAAGGGAAACCGAGUCUUAACUGGGCGUUAAGUUGCAGGGUAUAGACCCGAAACCCGGUGAUCUAGCCAUGGGCAGGUUGAAGGUUGGGUAACACUAACUGGAGGACCGAACCGACUAAUGUUGAAAAAUUAGCGGAUGACUUGUGGCUGGGGGUGAAAGGCCAAUCAAACCGGGAGAUAGCUGGUUCUCCCCGAAAGCUAUUUAGGUAGCGCCUCGUGAAUUCAUCUCCGGGGGUAGAGCACUGUUUCGGCAAGGGGGUCAUCCCGACUUACCAACCCGAUGCAAACUGCGAAUACCGGGGAAUGUUAUCACGGGAGACACACGGCGGGUGCUAACGUCCGUCGUGAAGAGGGAAACAACCCAGACCGCCAGCUAAGGUCCCAAAGUCAUGGUUAAGUGGGAAACGAUGUGGGAAGGCCCAGACAGCCAGGAUGUUGGCUUAGAAGCAGCCAUCAUUUAAAGAAAGCGUAAUAGCUCACUGGUCGAGUCGGCCUGCGCGGAAGAUGUAACGGGGCUAAACCAUG
rnacentral:rRNA from 1 species